rnacentral:tRNA from 1 species
AGUGAAGGGCAGAGGUUGUCGCACAGGACUCAUAAGCCUGGGGUCGGCGGUUCGAAUCCGCCCCUCGCUACCA